CCCUUAGAUGUUCUGGGCUGCACGCGCGCUACACUGAAGGAGGCAGCGUGUACUCCUGGAUCGAAAGAUUUGGGUAACCCGCGAAUCUCCUUCGUGCUAGGGAUUGAGGUUUGCAAUUAUCCUUCAUGAACGAGGAAUUCCCAGUAAGUGCAAGUCAUAAGCUUGCGCUGACUACGUCCCUGCCCUUUGUACACACCGCCCGUCGCUACUACCGAUUGAAUGAUUUAGUGAGGACUUCGGACUGGGACCGAUGCGGCUUUCGGGCUGCGUCGGUAUUCUGGAAAGAUGUCCAAACUGUAUCAUUUAGAGGAAGUAAAANUCGUAACA
rnacentral:rRNA from 1 species